rnacentral:rRNA from 1 species
GGCCUUUUGAUUAUAAUUUAAGGUCUGACCUGCCCAAUGAUUUAAGUUAAAUGGCUGCGGUAUUUUGACCGUGCAAAGGUAGCAUAAUCAUUAGUUUUUUAAUUGAAAGCUUGUAUGAAAGGUUUGAUGAGAAAAUUUCUGUCUCUGGUUAAAUUAAUUAGAAUUUUAUUUUUAAGUAAAAAAGCUUAAAUAAUUAUAGAAGACGAGAAGACCCUAUAGAGUUUUAUAUUUUUUUAUAAAUUUAUGGUUUUUAGUAUUUAUAUUAUGAUUUAUAGAAAGUAUUUAGUUGGGGUGAUUGAAAAAAUAAAUAAACUUUUUUUUUAUAAAAACAUUGAUUUAUGAGUAAUUGAUCCUUAAUUUUGAUUAUAAGAGUAAAUUACCUUAGGGAUAACAGCGUAAUUUUUUUUUAGAGAUCUAAUCGAAAAAAAAGGUUGCGACCUCGAUGUUGGAUUAAAAUAUAGGGCUGGUGUAGGAGCUAGCCUUUUAGGUCUGUUCGACCUUUAAAAUUUUACAUGAUCUGAGUUUAAACCGGUGUAAG